rnacentral:lncRNA from 1 species
UAGAGUAAUGAAGAGUAAUCUGAGUGUUUAAGAGAGAUUAGAGAAGAACUAAGUGUAGAGAGUAAGUAAAGUAGUGGAGAAUCACCAGGAAGUCGAAUAAAUCUCAUAGGAGUUAGGAUGAAGAAGCUAUGACUUUUAGAGUAAUGAAGAGUAAUCUGAGUGUUUAAGAGAGAUUAGAGAAGAACUAAGUGUAGAGAGUAAUAUAAGAGAUCGAGACUAAGAAUAAGCCAUGGAGGCAAAGAUAAUCAGAACUGUCUAACUUUCAUUAAUGAGAAGAGUUCACAAUAUAUAGAGAGGUAGCUUAGGCGACUAGGGUUUAGGAUAAGCCACUAUUACAAAGGAUAAGCUUUUGCUUUAAUUCAAAUGCUCCAAUUAGCUCUCCUCUUAAGGAUAAGGUUGCUUUAGCUUUUGCCAGCCUUGGACAGGCUGUCAUGCGCUCCCCUUCUUCCCAUUCAACGGUCUUGAUGUCUUUGGUAGCAAGGCAAGACUCCUUCUCAUCUCACAAAGUUACUUAGGUAACUUUGUUUCACCUUUGGCCGAGUUACUCUCUCAACCUGUACGGCCUUGUACGGCUCAUGUACGGCCUUGUACGGAUGCUUACUUCAGCUUGCCUUCACUCUCCCUUAGAUCAUCCUUUCCUCAUCUCCUUAGCUUCUCAUAUACUGACCUCUUCUUAACACUCCCCCUCAAGCUUAGCUUUGUGAAAGCCUAAGCUUGGACAGCCAUGAGAUCUUCCUCAUUAAAAACCUUAC